UCAAAUCCAAAACCUAGAGACACAGAGUUAAGCUUUCUGCUCGUCCAAAAAUGGAGGAAUUGACGAGCAAAAAGGCUGGAAAACCCAUUCGGCUGGAAAAUCAUCGUGAGAUUUUAGGGCACUGAGCGAACUCCCCAGUCCGGCGAAUUUGGAAUUCACACUGAUUACAAAGCUUGCAGUGGAAUUGGUAGAAAUAGAGAUCAUUCCGGCGAUGUAUGUAUGUAUUCUUCACUAACUUUUUGCACUCUUUGCUUCCUGAAAAAUUCAAAUUAUUAUGAUCAUCUAGUCCCCCACUCCACCCACGGGAUUUCUUUUUAAUUGCACCGACUCGCCUUCAAUACUUAAUAUUAUUAGGAGUUUAUCUCUAGUGUUAGAAUAGCAAAAGUCAAUUUGAAUUAUCCCAAAUCAGUUAUAAAUUGUGAUCAUAAUCUAUUUGUAGUAUUUGAGAGAGAGAUCAUUUUCAUCAUUAAAAUUAAGUUUUUGAAUAUUGUAUUACUUGUCACUGCCCUGUUUCACUAGCUGGGGCAUGUUUGAUUGCCAAGAUUUAUUAUUGCUCCACUUACUAGAGCUAAUUAGCUAUGAGCAUUGGGGUGAAAAAUUUGGUAACCUUUUUAUGGCUAAGAAUAAGUUGAACACUUUACAGAUAGAAUUAUUGAGGAUUGUGAAGAGUGAGCAGGGAGUCACACAUUGAAAUCUUGAUUUUGUGGAGAACAGUGAGCAUGGAGAUAGGUCUGUCAAAAUAUAAGAACUAAUCUUUAAGAUAUAUCUAUCUGCUUGUACUUUUCUUGAGUUAUGAUUAUGUGGCAUUAUCUAGACUAGACAAUGAAAUAUUUGUCACUUUUAACAUCAAUCUUGGGCAAUUAUUCCAUUAUAAUUUAAAAUAUUUCUCAUGACUAGUAAUUCAACUAAGAUAUAGAUUGACUUCAUGGAGAUUGUGUAAGAUUUUCAAACAAUUUUUAACGUUGCAAGUUUCACAUUCUGAUUCUUAACAGGUAUCAGGAGCUGGCUCAUAGAGUUGAUGAGCCUUCAGUGAGCUUGAUACGACUAUUAAUCAACCACCUAUUUUUUAUGAGACACAAGAGAGUCGUCACGGAAAUAUUAACUUGAAUGUGAGUAAUUAUUAUCUUUUCUUCAUAUUCUUAUGGUUAUUAUUUCUACUUUAUUGGUGAGCAUUUUUAAGGGUGCAUAUAUGUUGAUAAUUGCAUAUAUGUUAUUGUAGAGCCCUCGUUUAAGCGGUAAGAGUUGUUUAUAGAUUGGUUUAAGUUUUACCUUUCAUAAAUCAUAAAUUUAAGAUGUAUGAACUCACUUAAUAUUGAUGUUUUUCCUAUAACUUGUAGGAAUCCAUAUGGGGAGAUGAACUUCUGAAUCUUGAUGCGGUGUGGAAUUUUGGGCCUAUAGGUGAAGACACUUCAAAUGUUGGCUAUAAAGACUUUUGACUUGAUUUAGUUGUAGUUUUGGUCUAGUAUAUAUAGGUGGUUAGACCAGUUUUUGUCUUUUCUUUUAGUCCAUUGCUCAACAAUAUGAUCGAUGAAAACAAAAAUGAGGUGGCUUAGUGGAUGUACGAAAAGUAUUUUAAUUCUAAUCAUUUGUUUUCAUCCCUUCAAGUUUUCCAAUUUCAAUGUUGGUUUUGUUCUCAGUAAUUUCUCUUAGCAUACGUUAAAUAUUUAACAAACAUACACAAUAUAUGUCAGACUAAAUUGAUGAACACAAUAAUUGGAAUUCGUUUCAUAAACACUAUAAUCACGAUUUACAUGUUUACAAGGGGCAUACCCCAAGUAAUUAAAAAACGAUUAUACAAUAGCUUAAUAGCUCAAGCAACUACAAAUAUGGCAGUUUUUCUGUGUAGCUUCACUGCACCGUGUGACUAUAAGGCGUAAGCCGCAUAACCAUUUGACAUCCAUUCAAGUUUGGGUCACUUGCCAUUUCUUAAAGCACUCUCACCAGGUGGUAACCAUUUGACUGGACAGAUUUCUCCUACCUUUGGGAAUUUCAGCACCUUGUACAGCUUACAUUAGCCAUAAACUCCAUGGGAGGUCCUAUUCCAACCACCUUCAAGAAUUUCUUCAGUUUGCAGUAUGUUGAUCUCAGUUACAAUUCCUUAUUUGGG
rnacentral:lncRNA from 1 species